rnacentral:rRNA from 1 species
AUGAUUCUUAUGCCUACCAUCGACCAUUUGUCGAGCGCUUUGCAUGAUUGCUAUGACCAUGAGCUAGAUGCUUAUUCUCUUGUCCCAAAUAUUUGCAUCACUACCUCACAUUUACAUGCUUGUUUCCAUGAUGACCUUGAUUGUGCUCAAUUCAUAUUCUUACAUGCCAUGUCACAAUCCUUUGUCACGCCUUACGCUAUGCAUGAUGACAACACUUGUUCGGUGAAUCACCACUUGAAUGCUUGGUUUUGCACUAAAGCUAACCACAUUUAUUUUCCCAAGUGUUUGUUGUCCUUACUCCUUUUGAAGGAACCACACGAUGGUGCGACAUUGGAGAGUGACCACUAUGAGUUUCAAGAUGAUGACUACAUGGUGAACGUCCACUUCUACACGACGACGCCAUCUCUUUCCCAUGGUGAUUUGGUUUUCGAUCCGAGGUCGGAUCUUUCCCAAGGGGGAGGGGAUGAUGCGGAGCAUCCUACAGACAUCACCAUGUCAAGAGUCCGUUUGGCGAGUGACACCUGCGACAUCCACUUCACAUACACAAAGGUGAAUCAUCUCCUUUACGCGUGUUCACUUGACCCCAUCGAGGAUGGUAUGCUACUUGACACUCCUCUCGUGUGCAUUUAUAGGUAUCAUCGGAGCACCACGGAUGAUGAGGAGGAGUGCAAGCGCAAGUGUACGCCUACACCGUCCACGAGAGAAGCUUGGAAGCGACGACGGAAGAAGAUGGUGCAAAAUUUGCACUACCGGACUGUCCGGUCGCCCAACCGGACUGUCCGGUCCAUCCAAAGAGCAGUUUUGGUGUGUGCAGAAAUUGCACUACCGGACAGUCCGGUCCCCCAAGCGGACAGUCCGGUAGUACAAUUUCUGGACGCCCAAAAGUUUCUGUUUGCACCGGACUGUCCGGUCCCCUGUACCGGACUGUCCGGUAGUGCAUCUGCGGGCCGAAUUUGGGCAAGGCCCAUGUAA